rnacentral:rRNA from 1 species
UAAUACAGAGGGUGCGAGCGUUGUCCGGAAUCACUGGGCGUAAAGGGCGCGUAGGCGGCCUGGUAAGUACGGGGUGAAAUCUCACGGCUCAACCGUGAGGCUGCCUCGUAGACUGCCGGGCUCGAGCAGAGCAGAGGCUAGCGGAAUUCCCGGUGUAGCGGUGGAAUGCGUAGAGAUCGGGAAGAACAUCGGUGGCGAAGGCGGCUAGCUGGGCUCUUGCUGACGCUGAUGCGCG